AGAUAUGGAAUGGUCACAUUCUAGGACGGGAACCACACGCCAGGACGUCGACAAGAACCAAGAAUAACAGCAGGCGGAGAUCGUGGGCCGGGUCGUGAGGUUCCGUCUAUUAUGGUUGAGCUACGCGAUGGCUGACCCAUGAGUCAACUCGUGAACAAUGCUGCCAGAGGGAACUGGUCAUCUCGUUUCUCAUAUAUUUUUAUGGCGCGGACCUCACGACUUUUCCCGGUAGAUUUGGAAAGUCAGGUUCAGACUACUGUCAGACGGUCCUGGCAGAAGAAGCGAAGAAAAUGUGCUGAUGAUUUCCCCUGCUCUUGGACACCGGUCAGUUGUCGCUGUAGAAUUUUUAAUCGAUUAUAAUUCUUAGUAAUAAUUACAGUGUCUUUCUCAACCUUGACCUUGGCAAAAUCAUCGUUUGGCCAAACGAUGGAGCCAUAAAAUUAAAAAGUGAAGUGAAGUGAUCAAAUUUAUAAUACCAUUGUUACAAAUCAUGCUUUUAUUAUAUAUUUUUUAUAGUUAUACCAAUUAUAAAUGGAGGAUUUGGAUUGAUUGAUUACUUCCACUAAUAUUAGAAGCUCCUGAUAUGUAUGAUUCUCACGAGUCAAAAGUUAAAAAUAAAUUGCAAUUCUUUUUAAAAAAAGUUAUUUUAAGAAACUGCGGUUAUUAACUUUAAAAUUCCAAAUACCUUAUUCCAAUUACAUCGCGUUAUAAUAAACCCGAAUUGCGAACCUUUUGCAUGUCUCAGAUUUAUUAUGGCUACUUUCACCGAGUUAAGGACCUUGCACACUUGAUUUUUCACGCAUCGCAAAAAUUCAUCCAUUUUUUUUUUGUUGACCGUCUCACACUUAUGUGUGAAAAAUACAUGCUUAAAAGUAGUAAAAUGAUGUUAUCAUUAUUUUAUUACUUUUAAGCAUGUAUUUUUCGUAAA